GUCUACGGCCAUACCACCCUGAACGUGCCCGAUCUUGUCUGAUCUCAGAAGCUAAGCAGGGUUGGGCCUGAUUAGUACUUGGGAUGGGAGACCGCCUGGGAAUACCGGGUGCUGCAGGCU
rnacentral:rRNA from 3 species